rnacentral:rRNA from 1 species
UGAUCCCAUGGCUCAGAUUGAACGCUGGCGGCAGGCCUAACACAUGCAAGUCGAGCGGCAGCACGGGUACUUGUACCUGGUGGCGAGCGGCGGACGGGUGAGUAAUGCCUAGGAAUCUGCCUGGUAGUGGGGGAUAACGCUCGGAAACGGACGCUAAUACCGCAUACGUCCUACGGGAGAAAGCAGGGGACCUUCGGGCCUUGCGCUAUCAGAUGAGCCUAGGUCGGAUUAGCUAGUUGGUGAGGUAAUGGCUCACCAAGGCGACGAUCCGUAACUGGUCUGAGAGGAUGAUCAGUCACACUGGAACUGAGACACGGUCCAGACUCCUACGGGAGGCAGCAGUGGGGAAUAUUGGACAAUGGGCGAAAGCCUGAUCCAGCCAUGCCGCGUGUGUGAAGAAGGUCUUCGGAUUGUAAAGCACUUUAAGUUGGGAGGAAGGGCAGUUACCUAAUACGUAUCUGUUUUGACGUUACCGACAGAAUAAGCACCGGCUAACU